rnacentral:rRNA from 1 species
AGAGUGAACGCUGGCGGUAGGCCUAACACAUGCAAGUCGAACGGCAGCACAGUAGGAGCUUGCUCUUACGGGUGGCGAGUGGCGGACGGGCGAGGAAUACAUCGGAAUCUACCUUUUGGUGGGGGAUAACGUAGGGAAACUUACGCUAAUACCGCAUACGCCCUUCGGGGGAAAGCCGGGGACCAGCAAUGGCCUGGCGCUGAUAGAUGAGCCGAUGUCGGAUUAGCUAGUUGGUGAGGUAAUGGCUCACCAAGGCGACGAUCCGUAGCUGGUCUGAGAGGAUGAUCAGCCACACUGGAACUGAGACACGGUCCAGACUCCGUACGGGAGCAGCAGUGGGGAAUAUUGGACAAGUGGGCGCAAGCCUGACUCCAGCCAUACCGCGUGGGUGAA